rnacentral:rRNA from 1 species
UACGAAGGGGGCUAGCGUUGCUCGGAAUUACUGGGCGUAAAGCGCACGUAGGCGGCGCGGUAAGUCGGGUGUGAAAUCUCGGAGCUUAACUCCGAAACUGCAUUCGAUACUGCCGUGCUUGAGGACUGGAGAGGAGACUGGAAUUUACGGUGUAGCGGUGAAAUGCGUAGAUAUCGUAAGGAAGACCAGUGGCGAAGGCGGGUCUCUGGACAGUUCCUGACGCUGAGGCACGAAGGUCAGGGGAGCAAACGGG